ACUCCGUGAUGAACAUAAAAAAAGACAAGCAUAUGGCUGAACUUAAAGUGAUGCCAUCUUCCUACUGAGAAGU